GACGAACGCUGGCGGCGUGCUUAACACAUGCAAGUCGAACGGAAAGGCCCAGCUUUUGUGGGGUGCUCGAGUGGCGAACGGGUGAGUAACACGUGAGUAACCUGCCCUUGACUUUGGGAUAACUUCAGGAAACUGGGGCUAAUACCGGAUAGGAGCUCCUGCUGCAUGGUGGGGGUGGGAAUGUUUCGGCGGUUGGGGAUGGACUCGCGGCUUAUCAGCUUGUUGGUGGGGUAGUGGCUUACCAAGGCUUUGACGGGUAGCCGGCCUGAGAGGGUGACCGGCCACAUUGGAACGGGGAUACGGCCCAGACUCCUACGGGAGGCAGCGGGGGGGAAUAUUGCACAAGGGGCGGAAGCCUGAGGCGGCAACGCCGCGGGCGGGAUGACGGCCUUCGGGUGGUAAACCGCUUUCCCCGGGGACGAAGCGUGAGUGACGGUAAUUGGUAAAGAAGCACCGGCUAACUACGUG
rnacentral:rRNA from 1 species